AGUUUGAUCCUGGCUCAGGAUGAACGCUAGCGGCAGGCCUAACACAUGCAAGUCGAGGGAGAAGCCUUCGGGCUGAAACCGGCGCACGGGUGCGUAACGCGUAUACAAUUCUGCCUUUCACUGGGGGAUAGCCCGAAGAAAUUUGGAUUAAUACCCCAUAGUAUAGUAGUGUGGCAUCACACAACUAUUAAAGCUUAGGUGGUGAAAGAUGAGUAUGCGUUCUAUUAGCUAGUUGGAGAGGUAACGGCUCCCCAAGGCGAUGAUAGAUAGGGGUUCUGAGAGGGAUGUCCCCCACACUGGUACUGAGAUACGGACCAGACUCCUACGGGAGGCAGCAGUGAGGAAUAUUGGACAAUGGUCGGAAGACUGAUCCAGCCAUGCCGCGUGCAGGAUGAAGGUCUUAUGGAUUGUAAACUGCUUUUGUAAGGGAAGAAUAAGAGCUACGUGUAGUUUGAUGACGGUACCUUAUGAAUAAGCAUCGGCUAACUCCGUG
rnacentral:rRNA from 1 species